rnacentral:rRNA from 1 species
GACGAACGCUGGCGGCGUGCUUAACACAUGCAAGUCGAACGGUGAAGCGCCUUCUUUUUUGGUGGGUGUGGAUGAGUGGCGAACGGGUGAGUAACACGUGAGUAACCUGCCCCCUUCUUCUGGAUAACCGCAUGAAAGUGUGGCUAAUACGUGAUAUUCUGGGUCUGUCGCAUGAUGGGUCUGGGAAAUAUAUUGUUUCGGUGGGGGAUGGGCUCGCGGCCUAUCAGCUUGUUGGUGGGGUGAUGGCGUACCAAGGCGGUGACGGGUAGCCGGCCUGAGAGGGUGGACGGUGACACUGGGACUGAGACACGGCACAGACUCCUACGGGAGGCCGCAGUGGGGAAUAUUGCAGAAUGGGCGCAAGCCUGAUGCAGCGACGCCGCGUGAGGGAUGGAGGCCUUCGGGUUGUGAACCUCUUUCGCCAGUGAAGCAGGCGUGCCUCGUGUGUGGGUGGGUUGACGGUAGCUGGAUAAGAAGCGCCGGCUAACUACGUG